AAUUUCUUUCUGGUGGUCCUUCCUUUGUGGAGCUUUUUAUUGUGAGCCUAAAUCUUUGGAUAUAUCCCACAAGAGAAACAUUUCGGAGAGGGUUGCUCUAUAAUUUACAUUCUUAUUGUCAAAUCUGGGAAAUGAAGCACAGAUACUUUAUGAGGAAUGGCUUGUUCAUUUUAAAUGGGAAAGAAACGAAUUUGAAAUAUAACUGCCUGGCAAACAAAUUUGAAGGUGAUUAAAUCAACCAUAUUUAAAGACCGGUGAGUCCAGAGGUCAAUAACUUCUUGUCUCCUCUGCUACAAAUAUGGAGAACAGGCUGCUCCAUUUUUGCAUCAAUGUUUUAGGAUCAAAUGCCUCUCCAUACACCACAGGAGCCCACUGCGGAGCCCUGACAGCCCAGGAGUGAGUGUGAGCUCCCAUCCUGGGCUGGUGCUAUGGCCUUACCCAUAUGGAGCCUUCAUGGAGCUGAGCCAAAUUACCCCCUUCCACAAUCUAAGCAAGCACCUUUAUCUCUGGGCUUUCAUUUUCACUCUGUGGGUGUUUGGCAAUGGAGAUUAUAUUAGCAUACCAAGUAAUUAUUACCAUAUGCUAUUGUUUGAGGUCCUAACUGACGAUGUGUGUGGAGAAUGAUCUGAAUGAUACGUAUGGUAUCUCUCUUUACACACAGAGACAGGGGGAUCUAGGGUGUGACUAACUUCUUCCUAAAUACAGUUAAAAUUAUCUGCACCCAAAUUAUAUAUAUUUUUUUGCUACUGACUGUACAGGGAACCCAUCUCAGUCACAGCUGUCCCACUUGGAGAUGCCUUAUGGUAAAGUAAUUCUCACCUGAAAGAUGGACAGUUAAAUUCAACCCAAAACUUUAGUCCACACAGAAUACACAGUGUUAAGCAAGUCAGUCAGUGUAAUAAAUACAUGCCUAAACAUCUCCUCCAAGGGUUUAAAAAAUAAAACAAAAUAAGAACUUUGGGAAGUAAAAAUGCAGAACACCAAUCCCAGUUGAUUUUCUACAUUUUAUCAAGUGGAGGCAAACUCUCAAACAUUUGGAUAGAUUCAAGAAGAUGCCAUUUAUUUCUUGAUGUGAGGGCUAGCAGCUUUGCAAAGGGCAGGGAUGAGCGGGGACAAACUGUGAUGUUUCAAACCACUAUGCAGAGUGAACAAACUGCCGAUGGGAGACUCUGUUCCUUCAGCAAUGGCAGUGCAGCAACCUCUGCUUCUGUGUUCUUGGAGGCAUGGUGUCAGAUCCCUUAGCCUGCACCAGUGGAGUAACCUCUCCUCCCUGAGUUUCAUUUUUCCUAACACGACAUGAAGUUUCAGAUUUCCUGCAUAAAUAUUACAUGGGCCUCAGAAAUUAUUAAUAACAAGCGCAUUUGAAUUCAGAACCAGCUGUAGAAAUAAAUGUCCAGUACUUCAGAGGUAGUUUUACUUGUAGCAAACAGAGAUUAAAAAUGCAUUUUGCAACUUAUCACCUCUCAAAAAGCAUAAGAGGAAAAGUGAUAAAUUAUUAGGAUCCAAGCAUGGUAUAAAUGUGCCUGAGGUUUGAUUACUCGUAACUGUACCAGUAAUCAAAAGGGUAGGUACCAAAAUACCCGUGCUGUUCUUCCAUUAUAAACAGUAAUUUUUUAAUCUUAUCAUAUGAGUGUCUGUGAAGUCGAUGUAUUGAGCAAUUUGGAACUAAAAUUCCUGUCUUCAGG
ensembl:lncRNA